rnacentral:rRNA from 1 species
AUGCGACGACUACACCAAGCUCAUAACCUACCAUGGCUCCUGGUGGGUGACCUUAAUGAAAUCAUGUACCUUCAUGAGAAAGAAGGAGGCAAUCCGUGCCCGCUCCAAUACAUGCAAGCAUUCCAUGAAGUUGUUGAGGACUGUGAGCUGCAUGAUCUUGGGUACCUCGGUGAUCCAUAUACAUGGCGUCGAGGUCGGAUCAGGGAACGUCUUGAUAGAGGGCUUGUGAAUGAUUUGUGGUCUGCCCGUUUCCUCCACGCGGCACUACAGAAUAUGGAGUUCAAUCACUCAGACCACAGACCGCUCCUUGUGGAUACUGAGUACUAUGUACAACCACCGAGUGGAACGAACAAUAUUCAUGCCAAAAGAUUCGAAGCUCGGUGGCUGAGGGAAAAGAAAUUUGAUGAAAAAGUGAUGAAUGCAUGGAACGAGGCAGGGAUAGAUCCCAAUGUCACGAACAUACAUGAAAAACUCAAUAAAAUGCAUGCUAGCUUCCAUGACUGGUGUUAA